ACCAGCGGAGGGAUCAUUACCGAGUUUACAACUCCCAAACCCAAUGUGAACGUUACCAAACUGUUGCCUCGGCGGGGUCACGCCCCGGGUGCGUCGCAGCCCCGGAACCAGGCGCCCGCCGGAGGAACCAACCAAACUCUUUCUGUAGUCCCCUCGCGGACGUAUUUCUUUACAGCUCUGAGCAAAAAUUCAAAAUGAAUCAAAACUUUCAACAACGGAUCUCUUGGUUCUGGCAUCGAUGAAGAACGCAGCGAAAUGCGAUAAGUAAUGUGAAUUGCAGAAUUCAGUGAAUCAUCGAAUCUUUGAACGCACAUUGCGCCCGCCAGUAUUCUGGCGGGCAUGCCUGUCCGAGCGUCAUUUCAACCCUCGAACCCCUCCGGGGGAUCGGCGUUGGGGAUCGGGACCCCUCACACGGGUGCCGGCCCCUAAAUACAGUGGCGGUCUCGCCGCAGCCUCUCCUGCGCAGUAGUUUGCACAACUCGCACCGGGAGCGCGGCGCGUCCACGUCCGUAAAACACCCAACUUUCUGAAAUGUUGACCUCGGAUCAGGUAGGAAUACCCGCUGAACUUAAGCAUAUCAAAAGGCGGAAGGAA
rnacentral:rRNA from 1 species